rnacentral:rRNA from 1 species
AGUUUGAUCCUGGCUCAGGAUGAACGCUAGCUACAGGCUUAACACAUGCAAGUCGAGGGGCAGCAUUGGAGUAGCAAUACUUCAGAUGGCGACCGGCGCACGGGUGGGUAACACGUAUCCAACCUGCCGCUUACUCGGGGAUAGCCUUUCGAAAGAAAGAUUAAUACCCGAUGGUAUAAAGAGUUCGCAUGUUCUCUUUAUUAAAGAAUUUCGGUAAGCGAUGGGGAUGCGUUCCAUUAGAUAGUUGGCGGGGUAACGGCCCACCAAGUCUACGAUGGAUAGGGGUUCUGAGAGGAAGGUCCCCCACAUUGGAACUGAGACACGGUCCAAACUCCUACGGGAGGCAGCAGUGAGGAAUAUUGGUCAAUGGACGAGAGUCUGAACCAGCCAAGUAGCGUGAAGGAUGACUGCCCUAUGGGUUGUAAACUUCUUUUAUAAGGGAAUAAAGUGAGGGACGUGUCCCUUUUUGUAUGUACCUUAUGAAUAAGGAUCGGCUAACUCCGUGCCAGCAGCCGCGGUAAUACGGAGGAUCCGAGCGUUAUCCGGAUUUAUUGGGUUUAAAGGGAGCGUAGGUUGACGUAUAAGUCAGCUGUGAAAGUUUACGGCUCAACCGUGAAAUUGCAGUUGAUACUGUAUGUCUUGAGUGUACAAGAGGUGGGCGGAAUUCGUGGUGUAGCGGUGAAAUGCUUAGAUAUCACGAAGAACUCCAAUUGCGAAGGCAGCUCACUGGGGUACAACUGACACUGAGGCUCGAAAGUGUGGGUAUCAAACAGGAUUAGAUACCCUGGUAGUCCACACAGUAAACGAUGAAUACUCGCUGUUUGCGAUAUACAGUAAGCGGCCAAGCGAAAGCAUUAAGUAUUCCACCUGGGGGGUACGCCGGCAACGGUGAAACUCAAAGGAAUUGACGGGGGCCCGCACAAGCGGAGGAACAUGUGGUUUAAUUCGAUGAUACGCGAGGAACCUUACCCGGGCUUGAAUUGCAGAGGAACAUAGUUGAAAGAUUAUGGCCGCAAGGUCUCUGUGAAGGUGCUGCAUGGUUGUCGUCAGCUCGUGCCGUGAGGUGUCGGCUUAAGUGCCAUAACGAGCGCAACCCUUAUCAUUAGUUACUAACAGGUCAUGCUGAGGACUCUAGUGAGACUGCCGUCGUAAGAUGUGAGGAAGGUGGA